rnacentral:tmRNA from 1 species
GGGGACGACAUGGCUUCGACGUGGGUAGUGAAACCUGAGGUGCAUGCCGAGGUGCGGUUCCUCGUAAAUCCACUGCAAAACUUAUAGUUGCCAACGACGACAACUACGCUCUAGCUGCUUAAUAACCAGCUUAGUGCCCUCGGCCUGAUGUGUGCCUGUACACUCAGUCAACCGGGGUCGACUCUUACAGGAUCGCGAUGAAAGAUGUCUGGGCUGGAUUCGCUAAAACUUAACUAGACUCGCUGCUGGUCUUCCCUGCCUGUGGGGUAGCCUUCAGCUAAAUUAAUUUGCAGGAUAAGCAUGUAGAGCCAAAGGCGGAGGACUUACGGACGCGGGUUCGAUUCCCGCCGUCUCCACCA